rnacentral:rRNA from 1 species
AGAGCGAACGCUGGCGGCAGGCCUAACACAUGCAAGUCGAGCGCCCGUAGCAAUACGGGAGCGGCAGACGGGAUAGUAACACGUGGGAACGCGCCCUUCGGUUCGGAAUAACUCAGGGAAACUUGAGCUAAUACCGAAUACGCCCUUACGGGGAAAGAUUUAUUGCCGAAGGAACGGCCCGCGUCCGAUUAGCUAGUUGGUGAGGUAAUGGCUCACCAAGGCUACGAUCGGUAGCUGGUCUGAGAGGAUGACCAGCAUCACUGGGACUGAGACACGGCCCAGACUCCUACGGGAGGCAGCAGUGGGGAAUAUUGGGCAAUGGGCGCAAGCCUGACCCAGCCACGCCGCGUGAGUGAUGAAGGCCUUCGGGUCGUAAAGCUCUGUGGGGAGGGACGAAUAAGCCCGGUAUUAACGACCACCGGGCCCUGACGGUACCUCCUUAGCAAGCACCGGCUAACCCUGCGCCAGCAGCCGC